CCCUUCGCGGCUCCACCACGUGACGUCACUCUGUUUCCCAGGCAAUGUCUGUUGACUCAGGCCUGCCAAGCAGUCAGCAGUGAGCAGGGGAGGAGGCCAGGGCCGCUGGGGGUCGGCGCUGAGGAAGCCAGGAUUUUUCCGAGGUCGAAACUGGCCCCAAGUGGACCUGCCCAGCUGAUGUGACUAAGGCUCACGGGAAAUGGCAGCUCCUGGAACAGCUCCGACUCCGGGGACACCUGCAACUCCGGGGAUACCUCCGACUCCGACACCAAAGCCCGGAAAGGCCCCAGCUCCAACCCCACAAAUCCCAUUCUAAUCACUGCCACAUACUGAGAAACCACAAGUGGCCGCUCCCUGGGCCAGAGGGGCCCCUGCAGGAAUGUUCAAGACUUCCUCUCCCUGUGUUCCGAAGAUGCAGCCAAGUUUGUAAUCCAAGCGCCUGGCUGCUUGGCUCUGGCAGCCCCUCACAGCCCUGCUCUCCCGCUCCCACAUUCCAGCCGUCCCCACCAGCCGCUGGGGCCAAGGAG